GAUGAAGAACGUAGCGAAAUGCGAUAAGUAGUGUGAAUUGCAGAAUUCAGUGAAUCAUCGAAUCUUUGAACGCACAUUGCGCCCGCUAGUAUUCUGGCGGGCAUGCCUGUUCGAGCGUCAUUUCAACCAUCAAGCCCUGCUUGUGUUGGGGUCCUGCGGCUGCCCGCAGGCCCUGAAAACCAGUGGCGGGCUCGCUAGUCACACCGAGCGCAGUAGCACAUCUCGCUCAGGGCGUGCGGCGGGUUCUUGCCGUAAAACACCCCCUUUUUACCAAGGUUGACCUCGGAUCAGGUAGGAAUACCCGCUGAACUUAAGCAUAUCAAUAAGCGGAGGA
rnacentral:misc_RNA from 1 species